rnacentral:rRNA from 1 species
UACGUAGGGUGCGAGCGUUAAUCGGAAUUACUGGGCGUAAAGCGUGCGCAGGCGGCGCCGCAAGUCAGACGUGAAAUCCCUCGGCUUAACCGGGGAACUGCGUCUGAUACUGGAUGGCUUGAGAUUGGGAGAGGGAUGCGGAAUUCCAGGUGUAGCGGUGAAAUGCGUAGAUAUCUGGAGGAACACCGGUGGCGAAGGCGGCAUCCUGGACCAACACUGACACUGAGGAGCGAAAGCCAGGGGAGCAAACGGG